CUGCUGCCUCCCGUAGGAGUCUGGGCCGUGUCUCAGUCCCAGUGUGGCUGAUCAUCCUCUCAAACCAGCUAUCAUCGUCGGCUUGGUAGGCCAUUGCCCCACCAACUACCUAAUCCAACGCGGGCCAAUCCAAAGGCGAUAAAUCUUUCCCCCGAAGGGCACAUACGGUAUUACUCUCAGUUUCCCGAGCCAGCAGCCGCGGUAA
rnacentral:rRNA from 1 species